UACGUAGGGACCAAGCGUUGUUCGGAUUUACUGGUCGUAAAGGGCGCGUAGGCGGCAAUUCAAGUCAGCUGUGAAAUCUCCGGGCUUAACUCGGAACGGUCAGCUGAUACUGCUUUGCUAGAGUGCAGAAGGGGCAAUCGGAAUUCUUGGUGUAGCGGUGAAAUGCGUAGAUAUCAAGAGGAACACCUGAGGUGAAGACGGGUUGCUGGGCUGACACUGACGCUGAGGCGCGAAAGCCAGGGGAGCGAACGGG
rnacentral:rRNA from 1 species